UCCGGAUGAACCUCUUAGAUGACGAGUCCGACGUCGCUAAAGCGCAGUCGGUCAUCGACUGCGCUGACGUUUGAAGACACUCUUAUAAAUACCAUUCAUGCUUUUCUGAUC
rnacentral:snoRNA from 1 species